rnacentral:rRNA from 1 species
CGCGGCCUAUCAGCUUGUUGGUGAGGUAACGGCUCACCAAGGCAUCGACGGGUAGCUGGUCUGAGAGGAUGAUCAGCCACACUGGGACUGAGACACGGCCCAGACUCCUACGGGAGGCAGCAGUGGGGAAUAUUGCACAAUGGGCGCAAGCCUGAUGCAGCAACGCCGCGUGCGGGAAGACGGCCCUAGGGUUGUAAACCGCUUUCAGCAGGGAAGAAACUGACGGUACCUGCAGAAGAAGGUGCGGCCAACUACGUGCCAGCAGCCGCGGUGACACGUAGGCACCAAGCGUUGUCCGGAUUUAUUGGGCGUAAAGAGCUCGUAGGCGGUUCAGUAAGUCGGGUGUGAAAACUCUGGGCUCAACCCAGAGAGGCCACCCGAUACUGCUGUGACUCGAGUGCGGUAGGGGAGCGGGGAAUUCCUGGUGUAGCGGUGAAAUGCGCAGAUAUCAGGAGGAACACCAGUGGCGAAGGCGCCGCUCUGGGCCGUAACUGACGCUGAGGAGCGAAAGCGUGGGUAGCAAACAGGAUUAGAUACCCUGGUAGUCCACGCCGUAAACGUUGGGCACUAGGUGUGGGUCUCAACCAACGAGAUCCGCGCCGUCGCUAACGCAUUAAGUGCCCCGCCUGGGGAGUACGG